UUUAUUGGAGAGUUUGAUCCUGGCUCAGGAUGAACGCUGGCGGCGUGCCUAAUACAUGCAAGUCGAGCGAAUGGAUUAAGAGCUUGCUCUUAUGAAGUUAGCGGCGGACGGGUGAGUAACACGUGGGUAACCUGCCCAUAAGACUGGGAUAACUCCGGGAAACCGGGGCUAAUACCGGAUAAUAUUUUGAACUGCAUGGUUCGAGAUUGAAAGGCGGCUUCGGCUGUCACUUAUGGAUGGACCCGCGUCGCAUUAGCUAGUUGGUGAGGUAACGGCUCACCAAGGCAACGAUGCGUAGCCGACCUGAGAGGGUGAUCGGCCACACUGGGACU
rnacentral:rRNA from 1 species